UACGUAGGGUGCAGGCGUUAAUCGGAAUUACUGGGCGUAAAGCGUGCGUAGUCGGUUAUCUAAGUCGGAUGUGAAAUCCCCGGGCUCAACCUGGGAAUUGCAUUCGAAACUGAAUAGCUAGAGUUCGGCAGAGGGAAGUGGAAUUUCCGGUGUAGCGGUGAAAUGCGUAGAUAUCUGGAGGAACACCGGUGGCGAAGGCGGCAUCCUGGACCAAUACUGACGCUGAGGAGCGAAAGCCAGGGGAGCAAACGGG
rnacentral:rRNA from 1 species